CGAGGGGUGCAAGCGUUGUUCGGAAUUAUUGGGCGUAAAGGGCAGGUAGGUGGUCUUAUAAGUCUACUGUGAAAUCCCCGAGCUUAACUCGGGAAGUGCGGUGGAUACUGUAGGACUAGAGUGCUGGAGGGGUUCGUGGAAUACCCGGUGUAGCGGUGAAAUGCGUAGAUAUCGGGUGGAACACCAGAGGCGAAGGCGGCGAACUUGACAGUAACUGACACUAAACUGCGAAAGCGUGGGGAGCAAACAGGAUUAGAUACCCUGGUAGUCCACGCUGUAAACGAUGAAUGCUAGACGUGGUGGGUCUUGACCCCCGCCGUGUCGAAGUUAACACGAUAAGCAUUCCGCCUGGGGAGUACGGUCGCAAGACUA
rnacentral:rRNA from 1 species